CCUACGGGUGGCUGCAGUGGGGAAUAUUGGACAAUGGGGGCAACCCUGAUCCAGCCAUGCCGCGUGUGUGAAGAAGGCCCUCGGGUUGUAAAGCACUUUCAGUGAGGAAGAACGCCUGGUGGUUAAUACCCAUCAGGAAAGACAUCACUCACAGAAGAAGCACCGCCUAACUCCGUGCCAGCAGCCGCGGUAAUACGGAGGUUGCGAGCGUUAAUCGGAAUUACUGGGCGUAAAGCGCGCGUAGGUGGCUUGAUAAGCCGGUUGUGAAAGCCCCGGGCUCAACCUGGGAACGGCAUCCGGAACUGUCAAGCUAGAGUGCAGGAGAGGAAGGUAGAAUUCCCGGUGUAGCGGUGAAAUGCGUAGAGAUCGGGAGGAAUACCAGUGGCGAAGGCGGCCUUCUGGACUGACACUGACACUGAGGUGCGAAAGCGUGGGUAGCAAACAGGAUUAGAUACCCUUGUAGU
rnacentral:rRNA from 1 species